rnacentral:tRNA from 1 species
UCAGUAGCUCAGCAGGUAGAGCACAUCCCUUUUAAGGAUGGGGUCCUGGGUUCGAAUCCCAGCUGGGUC